AUUGAACGCUGGCGGAAUGCUUUACACAUGCAAGUCGAGCGGCAGCGCGGUCUUCGGACUGGCGGCGAGCGGCGAACGGGUGAGUAAUACAUCGGAACAUGCCCCGUCGUGGGGGAUAACACUUCGAAAGAAGUGCUAAUACCGCAUACGUCCUGAGGGAGAAAGCGGGGGAUCGCAAGACCUCGCGCGAUUGGAGUGGCCGAUGUCAGAUUAGCUAGUUGGUGGGGUAAAGGCCUACCAAGGCAACGAUCUGUAGCUGGUCUGAGAGGAUGAUCCGCCACACUGGGACUGAGACACGGCCCAGACUCCUACGGGAGGCAGCAGUGGGGAAUUUUGGACAAUGGGCGCAAGCCUGAUCCAGCCAUGCCGCGUGUCUGAAGAAGGCCUUCGGGUUGUAAAGGACUUUUGUCCGGGAGCAAAUACCCAGUGCUAAUAACGCUGGGGGCUGAGAGUACCGGAAGAAUAAGCACCGGCUAACUACGUGCCAGCAGCCGCAGUAACAC
rnacentral:rRNA from 1 species